rnacentral:rRNA from 1 species
GUGCCAGCAGCCGCGGUAAUACGUAGGGUGCGAGCGUUAAUCGGAAUUACUGGGCGUAAAGCGUGCGCAGGCGGUUUGUUAAGUCAGAUGUGAAAUCCCCGGGCUCAACCUGGGAACUGCAUCUGAUACUGGCAAGCUUGAGUCUCGUAGAGGGGGGUAGAAUUCCAGGUGUAGCGGUGAAAUGCGUAGAGAUCUGGAGGAAUACCGGUGGCGAAGGCGGCCCCCUGGACGAAGACUGACGCUCAGGUGCGAAAGCGUGGGGAGCAAACAGGAUUAGAUACCCUGGUAGUCC